rnacentral:rRNA from 1 species
ACUGGAGUUUGAUCCUGGCUCAGAUUGAACGCUGGCGGAAUGCUUUACACAUGCAAGUCGAACGGUAGAGGGGGCAACCCCUUGAGAGUGGCGAACGGGUGAGUAAUAUAUCGGAACGUGCCCAGUCGUGGGGGAUAACGUAGCGAAAGUUACGCUAAUACCGCAUACGAUCUAAGGAUGAAAGCGGGGAUCGCAAGACCUCGCGCGACUGGAGCGGCCGAUAUCAGAUUAGGUAGUUGGUGAGGUAAAGGCUCACCAAGCCGACGAUCUGUAGCUGGUCUGAGAGGACGACCAGCCACACUGGGGACUGAGACACGGCCCAGACUCCUACGGGAGGCAGCAGUGGGGAAUUUUGGACAAUGGGCGCAAGCCUGAUCCAGCCCAUUCCCGCGUGCAGGAUGAAGG